rnacentral:rRNA from 1 species
CCUACGGGGGGCAGCAGUGAGGAAUAUUGGUCAAUGGACGAGAGUCUGAACCAGCCAAGUAGCGUGAAGGAUGACUGCCCUAUGGGUUGUAAACUUCUUUUAUAUGGGAAUAAAAUGUUCCACGUGUGGGAUUUUGUAUGUACCAUAUGAAUAAGGAUCGGCUAACUCCGUGCCAGCAGCCGCGGUAAUACGGAGGAUCCGAGCGUUAUCCGGAUUUAUUGGGUUUAAAGGGAGCGUAGGUGGAUUGUUAAGUCAGUUGUGAAAGUUUGCGGCUCAACCGGAAAAUUGCAGUUGAAACUGGCAGUCUUGAGUACAGUAGAGGUGGGCGGAAUUCGUGGUGUAGCGGUGAAAUGCUUAGAUAUCACGAAGAACUCCGAUUGCGAAGGCAGUUCACUGGACUGCAACUGACACUGAGGCUCGAAAGUGUGGGUAUCAAACAGGAUUAGAUACCCUAGUAGUC